rnacentral:piRNA from 1 species
UAUCUGCCUUGCACAUGAAAACACUG